UCAGAUUGAACGCUGGCGGCAGGCCUAACACAUGCAAGUCGAGCGGUAGCACAAGAGAGCUUGCUCUCUGGGUGACGAGCGGCGGACGGGUGAGUAAUGUCUGGGAAACUGCCUGAUGGCGGGGGAUAACUAGUGGAAACGGUAGCUAAUACCGCAUAACGUCGCAAGACCAAAGUGGGGGACCUUCGGGCCUCACGCCAUCAGAUGUGCCCAGGUGGGAUUAGCUGGUAGGUGGGGUAACGGCUCACCUAGGCGACGAUCCCUAGCUGGUCUGAGAGGAUGACCAGCCACACUGGAACUGAGACACGGUCCAGACUCCUACGGGAGGCAGCAGUGGGGAAUAUUGCACAAUGGGCGCAAGCCUGAUGCAGCCAUG
rnacentral:rRNA from 1 species